GAUGAACGCUCGCGGCAGGCCUAAUACAUGCAAGUCGGACGGGAUCCCUUGAUCGCUUGCUAUCAAUGGUGAGAGUGGCGCACGGGUGCGUAACGCGUGAGCAACCUGCCUCCAUCAGGGGGAUAGCCUCUCGAAAGAGAGAUUAACACCGCAUAAUAUCGACAGUUCGCAUGUUCAGAUGAUUCAAUAUUUAUAGGAUGGAGAUGGGCUGGCGUGCAUUAGCUAGUUGGUAGGGUAACGGCUUACCAAGGCGACGAUGUCUAGGGGCUCUGAGAGGAGAAUCCCCCACACUGGUACUGAGACACGGACCAGACUCCUACGGGACGCAGCAGUAAGGAAUAGUAGUCAAUGGGAGGAAGCCUGAACCAGCCAUGCCGCGUGCAGGAUGACUGCCCUAGGGGUUGUAAACUGCUUUUGUCCAGGAAUAAACCUAAAUACGAGUAUUUAGCUGAAUGUACUGGAAGAAUAAGGAUCGGCUAACUCCGUG
rnacentral:rRNA from 1 species